GGACUACUGGGGUUUCUAAUCCUGUUUGCUCCCCUAGCUUUCGUGCCUUAGUGUCAGGAGUUGUCCAGGGACUCGCCUUCGCCACUGGUGUUCCUCUCGAUAUCUACGCAUUUCACUGCUACACCGAGAAUUCCAGUCCCCCCUCCAACCCUCCAGCCGAAUAGUAUUCAAUGCCAUUUCCGGGUUGAGCCCGGAGAUUUCACAUCAAACUUACCCGACCACCUACGCACCCUUUACGCCCAGUGAAUCCGAACAACGCUUGGGACCUCUGUAUUACCGCGGCUGCUGGCAC
rnacentral:rRNA from 1 species